GUGCCAGCAGCCGCGGUAACACGUAGGGUGCAAGCGUUGUCCGGAAUUAUUGGGCGUAAAGGGCUCGUAGGCGGUCCGUCACGUCGGGAGUGAAAACUCGGGGCUCAACCCCGAGCCUGCUUUCGAUACGGGCGGACUAGAGGUAGGUAGGGGAGAACGGAAUUCCUGGUGUAGCGGUGGAAUGCGCAGAUAUCAGGAGGAACACCGGUGGCGAAGGCGGUUCUCUGGGCCUUACCUGACGCUGAGGAGCGAAAGCGUGGGGAGCGAACAGGAUUAGAAACCCUCGUAGUCC
rnacentral:rRNA from 1 species